rnacentral:rRNA from 1 species
UACGAGGGGGGGCGAGCGUUGUUCGGAAUUAUUGGGCGUAAAGGGUGCGUAGGCGGUUCCGCAAGUCCUGUGUGAAAUCUUCGGGCUCAACUCGAAGUCUGCACGGGAAACUGCGGGGCUUGAGGCCGGUAGAGGUGGGUGGAACUCCUGGUGGAGUGGUGAAAUGCGUAGAGAUCAGGAAGACACCCGUGCGAAGGCGGCCCACUGG